CAGUCUGCGGCGGGGGCUUUGUUCUGAGUGAAGCAAGCGGGCGGCAGAGCUGGAGGUUUCACAAGGCUGCUGGGAGAGGCUUCGGUGCAGGAACCCAAGUCCAAGUUUGCUUCUUAGGAUGUGUAAAGCAUGGUCUUUAAGAAAGAGAACCUGGAUUUCAUUGAAUUGUAUUUAUGUCGAAUCACGAGACACCUGCUGGGAGAAGUGUGCUCCUGUUACUCAGAAUUCUGCAAGUGAAAGUAAAAUGUGUUGGGGAUAGUUCCUCCCUAAUCUCCAUUGGGAAGUUUGCAUCUGGAUCCCAGUUGUAUACAGUUUUUGUUAAUUUAUGCUUGUGUGAACAGCUGCCUGAGACAGACCAUAUUUGGAUUUAGCAAGUGUUUCUGUUCCUUCAAAAAAAAAAUAUAUCAAAACAAAACAACUCCACAGUAAUGACAAUGAAGGCUUUCAAAAGAAUUCUGGAAACUCAGGUUCCCAGAAGUGGCCCAAUAACAUGAAGAUAUGAAACAAGGUCUCUACUAUGUCAGAGACAUCGCCAUGUUAGUUAGCUGUCAACUGACAUCUAACAGAAGCCUUUUCACAUGACUCUCUGUCAGACAUCCCUGAUAACCGUGUGCACACUUUCCCUGUGUCACAUCACCACUCCACCAGUGGUGUCAGGAGGAAAGACAACAAAGGCCAGAACUGUUACUGCUGAGACAGAAAGAAGACUGUAUCAGUAGCAUGACUCUUUAAUCACUGUUAUGUACAAUUUAUCAUCUGACAGACUUACAGGGAAUAAAUAAAGGAAAAUAGACAAUUGGCACCA
rnacentral:lncRNA from 1 species